UGUUCUGUUGCUAAGUUGGUUAAAGCUCCCGUCUAGCGAAUACGGAGUCGUGGGUUCGAAUCCCACCAGAACGC
rfam:Aedes albopictus isolate Foshan contig1306, whole genome shotgun sequence.